GUCGACUCCCGAUAAUUCGAAGUCGCUUAAUUGGAAUUAUCGGUUAAUUGGAAGUGGAGUGGGGGUCCUGUCAGUUUUGCAUGCAGUUCAACAGGAAGAAAUUCUCGGUAAUUGGAAGCUAGAGGUCUGAAAUUUCGGUUAAUUCGAAUUUAUUUUCAAUCGAAUUCCCGGAGGAAAUCGUAAUGUUUGUUAAAUUUUCUAUUUUUGAAGUGCUAAACAACAAUGCGUGUGCGACCGGCACCCAAGGGCAUCGCAGUUGACCACAGCGCCGCAGCUCAAAGCGUCAGCUGAUGGCAUCGCAGUUGCAUGCAGCGCCCCAGAUCACGAAGCGGCUGCUCCGGCGGUUCCAGUUCCGGGCCUCAUUGUUGAUCUCGCUACGGUCGUGUGCGGACUCAGCGUUUCCACGUGCGACGAAGCUCCACGUGCAUUUACUAUGGCAACUCGCGGGCCUUAUCGGACGCUUGACUUGGCGACGAAACUUGACGUCGAUGGUCUCCUGCCAGCUCUCGGUGACGUCCCUUUCGAGGAGUACGUUGCCACUGACAGUUCGGUAGAAACGUGCGGUGCACUGUCGGACGCUGAGAUCGUGGAGAUGGUUCGGCCCAGCGAGCCUAGUCACGAAACUGAGGUUGACGACGACAACGCCGCAAGUGAGCCACUACCGUGGGUUGCUGAUGUAGCCGCAGGCCUUGCCCUCGCGCAGCGGUUUUUCACUGCUGAGAGCAACACCGAGGAAGCACUCGGGCACAUAUACAGCCUGCAGGACUUGCUUUCUGCUGCAAGAUUCAGCAAACAGAAGCAAACGGCAAUCACAGAUUUUUUCUCAUAAACUGCUUUGAAAUAAAUGUAUUUUUCGUUCA